CUGGCUUUUAACUCAAUAAGUUUGUCUUCGGGUAGACGAAUUACCAUGUUGAUGGUGUCAAAUUUCAUACCAAGGAAUAUCAACACUUCCGUUGGCUCGACCGUUUUUUCCUCUGCUAACGGAACCCCCAAAGUUUACAAGAAUCCUGAAAACACUUUAGAGUGUCGUGGCAUUGAGAAGUUUGUGCCUCGCCUCCAAACAGAAAAUCGUCCAAAUAAUGUAAAAUAUUGUCGUUUUUUGACUGUUGCUGUACAACCC
rnacentral:lncRNA from 1 species